AAUUUAGCGUGCAAGUCGCGCCGGGAGCUCUGGUUUAUUUUUAUUGCAAAAUUUUUUUUCUGCCGGUCUUAUCGAAAAUAAAUUAAGAAGUCUGGCAGCACAGCGUGGUAGCGCUACCAAAGGAAACCCAUUAAAAGAUUCUUUUUUCGAGAAUUCCCAGGACAGCCGCCUCCGCUUAGUAGGUGUAACUUCCAGCCGCCAUCCUGUGGAAGAUGGACAUCAUCGUGGCAUAGUGGACAACGCGCAGCUCCCGUUUUCAAUUCUACAAAAUUUUACAAAUGCUAAUAAUUAUUAUUAAAAUAUAUUUAAGAAAGAAA